GUUGAGAUUUGACACAGCAUAGUUCCCUUGCAAGGGGCCACAGAGCUUCAAAUGUUUGCAUUUGGCCUGCUUUAUAGCUCUGCUUCGCUGAGCCUCCCUGGUAACCAAAGCUGGGCUGGGAGCUGAACCUCCCCUGAACUUGAUGGGAAGAGGAACCACGCGCUCAGUUUCAGGGCAGGCCCUUCCCCCUGUCGCUCAGUGCAACAAACCCAAGUGCCCUCUCAGUAACUGGGGGCAUUGGCGUAUGCCUGGGUAGGGAACCCAAGCAAGCAGGGUCUGUGUAGUUCUUUGGAGGGUGUCACCAGGAGAUGCACACCCUGAAGGGCUGCGGUACUGAGCCCUGUGGAGAGGGGCUGGGGGCUCAGGGAGGUGUCUGAGGUGCUUACUGGUGCAUGAGCCUGCGUUGCCAGCAGCAGCAUGAGCACCAGCUGUGCCUCAGUGGAAACUGGUAAAACCCUGGACUAACAGCGUUAAGUUCAUUCCUGCGAGGAGGUUGGAAAGUCAGCAGCUAGGUAAGCAACAGACUCAGAAAUAAUGUAAGAGAAGAGGGAACCAGUCUUUUGCUUUCUCAAGAGGCCUUUCUCUUUGGAGAGCUGGGGGAUCAAGUCAUUGAAAAACAGUUUGAGGGCUGCUCCACAACCUACAGCCCUGGCAUGGUUCCCUGUGCCCUGAAGCAGAGGCUAAAAAAGGAGGUGAAUAUAUUCAUUACCACAAACUGCAUAGCGAAACCAUCAGAAUGGGUAUACUAAAAAAAGAGAUGAAACCUUUGCUUAUGAAUAGACCUAAAAGAAUUGAAUACAUGUGUACAGAGGGAUCAUUUUCCACUACCUACAAGAGGAAAAACCUCUGGGGAAGUGGCUGAUGCCAAAUAUUUUCUUAUGCUUCAUGUGUCAGCAGGGUCUGGCAGAAACCCUUAAAAAACAGAGCACGCAUUUUGUGCAAGUUGAGAAUCACAAUUUCUGGUGAUUUGGAUUGCUUCACCAAACUUGAGACAUUUCUCCAAAAAUACAGCAGAUGUUUGAUAGUGGACCAAGUUUUCAGCAUUUACACAGAUCAGAUGAUGUUAAGAUCAGCAAGAAAAAAAAAAGAAGAAGAAGAAAAAAAAAAAAGAAAAGAAAACAGAAAAAUAACAGAAUAACAGUAAAAGGCUUCAGAGCUGCCCUGAGAAGAAACUAAGCUGGGUUAGACAGCCAAAAAUGCUAAUUUUUUGCAACAGAUAUAAAACGCUGGUGAGAGACAUGUCAUGGCAAUGUAUGCAGCAAGGUUACAGAGGAGCUGGGUUGCAUGCAGCAGCAGAGGGCACAAGGACUUGCUGGAAUGGAAGCCCCAGGAGAUGUGUGUGUGACCUGGCUGUGUGACCUGACAACCCCAGGGCACUGCUGUACAAAGACAUCCAGUAGACUUUGACUACAAAUCUUAACAAUUCCAGAAACUGGAAAAGGAUGCAGCCCCGAGGUAUCUUAGCAGCACACGUGAGACAGAGCUGUCCCCAGAAGAGAACUGGGCUAAUCCUCUUGCAGCUAUAUGCUCAGAUCUGCAGUCUUUCAACUCCUUGCCAUCUCCACGGGUUCCCCUUCAGUCAUGGGGGUGUGGAAGAAUCGUAAAGAAACAGAGUCCAGGACACAGCAAACACGUAACAAAAUGCCACUCCAACAACUGUAGCAGCGAUUUUCCAGCUCUGGAGAUGCAAGCAAUGCUGCCAGGUCCUCAGGAUUCACCAAGCAACGUUUAUGUGAUUGGUUGUAACUGUUUGCAGUUGCAUAUUAACAUACCUUUUCUGAAUUUUGAUUUGGAAAACUCAGUGAUUUUAGAACCUCUGGCAUUAAUAACUGCCCUUUCCAGUCUGUGAAUCUGAAUCAGGUGCUGCAAAGCCUCCAUUUUAUUAUGAACAGCCGGAUGAAACCAGAUGCAUAAUAAAGCAAAUCUUUCACAAGCAGCUUAAGCACUGGAUGCACAAUGAGGACAACUGCAUUUCAGCACAGAGGUGGCUACAUUUGAGCCACGGGGAAGUAAUUCAUUUAUACACAAACUUCUCAAGCACUUUGGGAUGAAAAUACUGUAUGGAAUCAGUUUAAUACACUCAUGUGACAGACUCCCAUUUCAUAUUGUUUUCCUAUUUUUGCUAUGCCAAUCAUACUGCAAUCCUAUGCCCUCAUUCUGAUCGUGCUGGAAUAGGAGGCAGAUACUUUCAAAAAAGCCAGCAGAAUUAAAAACUUGCAGUGGGAAUUGUUCCUGUGCGUGCAGCUUGCUCAUGCUCAGAAACUAUUCAUGUUGCAUUUCUCUCUCCCCACUUAAUAAGGGGCUGCUUGCAUUUUGGCCGCAUUAGCAUGGUUUUGAAUUCUGGGUGUACUUUUAAGUAGCACGUCCUAGGCACUGUGUUCUGGUGCAUGACAGUCUCCUCGUCUCCUUCGGACUCCUGCCUGCCUUCACCUUCUACUCUGAUGCUCUCCUGCCUCUGGAACAUCUCACUUCAUCAGCACAACCAACCAACCCAUACAUCAACAGUUUCAAAUUCUUCAAAUUGAGAAGCCUCAAAUCAGGAACAAUUUGAUAACUUGCUCUCCCCUUUUGUUGAACCCUGUACAAAGGACUAAAAUGACUGUGUUGCCUAGUAGGUAAAAAAGGAGACCGGCAGCCCUGGACCACCUUUGGCCAUGGACAAUACUACUGAAACUAGACAUCACAUGAUGUCUAAAUCAGGCGUGUGUUGACUGCACAAGGCAGCUUCACCCAAAAUCUAAUGCCACUGUGUUACGCAAUGGCUGCACAGCCUCUUGUGCCUUUGUUUCUUCAUCUGUAACACGCAGACAGUAGCACUCAGCCAUCCAAAGGGGUGAACUGAGAGUUCAUUGGCAUUUUGGAAGACUUUUGAUAUUCCUGGAUGAACAGUGCAGUAUGAACAGAAAAUAGCUGUCAUUGUUUCUUCCUUUUUUAGUGACAUCCCUCUGAUAUUGCGCUCUCACAUUCCUGAGUUAAGCUUGCUUGAUUUUGCCUGGGUUUAAAAUCUGUUUUCUUCCUCAGAGAGGAUGCUAUAAUACACCUGUAAACACAGCAAGUCUCAAAUGUUCAGCAGCCUUGCACUCAAGGCAAGCUGCCUCCAUCUGACCUUCCUCAUCUUUAUUAAUAUACUCAAACAAAGACAGCUAGAACAGUUUAAUACGGGCAUGUUUUGUACUCCCUGCAGCCCUGUGCAUUUUAAAGGCCAGAAAGGACAUUCUCUGCCCCAACAAAUGAUUCAGCGUAGAUUAGAAGCUUUGGUUUAUAGAAGAAACCCUGCAAUUCGAUACCCAUGUGAUAGCACCUUUUGACAGUGAGGUACAGUCCCAAGCUUGAAUAUAGAUUCCCACUCCAGGAACUGAGCUCUAUGUCUACAGGCCUUCUAGAGGCCUUGUGCAUACAACCACCUCUUUGUUGCUCCAUCUGUAAAACUGGGGUUGUAACAGAGGGGUUUAGAGAAGUUCAGCUCUAGAAGUUUUUACAAAUGUUAAAUAUUGCUUGUUUCAAUCUUGUUCUGUUACAAAGAAGUCCUGCAAUUCUUCCAUCCUCUGCUGUUAAAAAACUGCUCUUCUCUUUGGGUCUUUAUGUUACUUAAAUUGUACAUAGUAGAUUUUUGCAGAUUUGGAGUGGAGGAAGAGGGGCGUUUAAGAGAGCAAGUAACAGUUUUGCAAGUAAAAGUGAUGGAAUUGCUGACAAAAGGUUUGAGCUGAUGUUUCCAUGUAUAACUAUCCCUGUUUGUGCUCUCCAAGCAGCUCUGACUGUGAUGGGUCCUCUUUCACGUAUAUUUAGGACAGAACAACUUGUGUUCAGAAGUAUCAGCAGGCACUAGAAGCACACGCACCAAGUGUUAGGUUCCCCGUAGCUCUAGAAUUCCCCCCUCCGCAGGGAUGGUUCAAGCCAGCGAUGCCAUCGUGAAUGGAUGAGAAGAAGGAAAACAUUAUUAAUAACAGUGGCUAACGCAAAUGAUGACGUUAAUGACCGUAUUUGCAUUAAGAUGGUGACUGUCGAGCCUGGUCUCUGGUUUUCCAUGAGGAUCUCUGUGCUAGAGCAUCUGUGUGCAGGGCAGAGCCCCUGGGGCAGGUGGCUGGAGAUAUUCCCUGGGGAGUGGGGACUCCUGAGGAGAGCAGACUGAGCUCUGUUUCCAGAGGGGCUGGGGGAAGCAGAUUUGCCCCGCUGGCUGCUGUAGCCAGACCUGGGUCUGUGGAGACCUCAGCACAGAGGAAAAGCCCUUCUGUCCCUCCUGCGGCCAUGCUGAGCUUGGCUGGAGGAGUGGGCCUUUGUCAUGCUGGCUCUGCCCCUCAUCUGCCCCCUGCAAAGUCAUGCUUGGAGAGACAGCGGUUCCCUUCAACACAGACAUUCACACGUAGCUGAUGGAACCGGGAUUAUUGCAGCGAUUGGGGGAAAAAGGGAAAGUGUGCAUUGCCAGGCUGGAUAAAACGUAAGGCACUGUUGGCUUAAGGUAGGCAGAGCUGCUGCCAGAUGAAGCAUUUGCACCUGGCCUGACUGGAAAUCCGUGGGGCAGAAUAUUCCUGCUGAAGUAUUUGUGUUGCCAUUGGCAUGGCAGUGGCUUGCCCGCACGUACUCAGACACCCAGGAGGCCAGGGCUCAGGGCUCCUCAAGGAGGUCAGUUUUUAUAUAGCAAAGCAAACAGUUUAGCUAAUCAAGGAUAUUUUUUCUUUUCUUUUCUGAGACUCCUGGCACCCGGCCCUGUUACUUGCAAUCUUUAAUUUGUACUGUGGCUUCCUUUUCCCUGCUGCCUUCUCACUCCAAUUUUCCCACACACUUAUUUCCUAACUCUACCUCUUAUGGAGGUCUUCAUUUAUUUCAGACCCAAAUUUACCUCAAUCCUACACAACGCUCUUGUUACCUCACCAUUUAUUCCUGUAAGUGACUGUCAUCAGAGCUCGAUGAGCUUGACAAGUUUAUGAAAAAAAAAAAAAAAGAAAAAACAGUUGAGCUAUUUUUUGUGUGUUGUAGAAAAUAGUUGAUGAUAACAAGGUACUUGUAACUUUAUUCAUAUGCACAUGUAGAAAUUGAUUGUGGAUCAGCUUGGACCUUCUUUUUGGUUAUGUAGCUGUCUGAAUGUCAAAACUGGAUUGCUAGGGGUGGGCUACAAACUGUACACACCACUCACAAGAUGGCCAUG